rnacentral:rRNA from 1 species
AUUGAACGCUGGCGGCAGGCCUAACACAUGCAAGUCGAGCGGAUGAAGGGAGCUUGCUCCUGGAUUCAGCGGCGGACGGGUGAGUAAUGCCUAGGAAUCUGCCUGGUAGUGGGGGAUAACGUCCGGAAACGGGCGCUAAUACCGCAUACGUCCUGAGGGAGAGAGUGGGGGAUCUUCGGACCUCACGCUAUCAGAUGAGCCUAGGUCGGAUUAGCUAGUUGGUGGGGUAAAGGCCUACCAAGGCGACGAUCCGUAACUGGUCUGAGAGGAUGAUCAGUCACACUGGAACUGAGACACGGUCCAGACUCCUACGGGAGGCAGCAGUGGGGAAUAUUGGACAAUGGGCGAAAGCCUGAUCCAGCCAUGCCGUGUGUGUGAAGAAGGUCUUCGGAUUGUAAAGCACUUUAAGUUGGGAGGAAGGGCAGUAAGUUAAUACCUUGCUGUUUUGACGUUACCAACAGAAUAAGCACCGGCUAACUUCGUG